rnacentral:sRNA from 1 species
UGYAUCKGAAGCCUGACGAGGAUGAGAAYCUCCGGGGGCAAGAGGUUCGACUCGAGCGCAGCGAGAGAACGUUGCGUCAGCAACGGCCCGCAGGGCGAGCUACGCAGUGGCGAGUCAUCCUCUAUCACCGGCAG